rnacentral:ncRNA from 1 species
GGGUACCGCUCUCUCAACCUCUGCCUGCGCUCGGUAUAAGCGUGUGGAC